AUGGCCGUCAAAUUCCCUCAUAAUGGGGAGAUCCAACUGGAGGCGAUUAUCAACGCGUCACCCUUGCUUAAUACCCUGACUCUUUCCUAUGUCGAUACACGCAGCGAGGCCUUCCCCGGUUGGGUGAUUGGGGGGGCCAAUCUCCGGAGCCUAACUAUCGUUUCCAAUGAUAAUCAUGGCUGGCAAGUCGCCGAGCUACCAAAUCUCCACGAAGGCACCAUCAAUUUGGAAUACUGUGAUAACUUUAGUGAUUUCGGAGGACUUCUUGCUGGGCUUGCUCAAGCUCGGAAGCUCACUCUAAAUAAGUGCUACCCAUCGUUCACAGAGGAUCAUAUCCUGGAAACACUUGCAUGCACCUUUGACAACUUAAAGAGUUUAACCCUCUGGACUCACUUUGAGGAAAUGCCUACCAUUUUGUCAACCUUUUGCAUGUUGAGGAAUGCUCCUAACCUUGAAGAACUUGAUAUAAUGAUCGAUGUUUUUUCGGAUGAGGAAAAUGAAGCAAAUGGGGAGUUUCAGAAUGCAGAAUGGACCGACGGCAUGUGUCCCAACCUUCAAGUUGUGCGAUUGACGGGUGUUCUCUGUUCGUCAAAUGAAAUGUGUUUUAUACAGCUUCUUUUAUCUAAAGCUACAGUUCUUCGCAUUAUGUCUAUUAAUCUUGGUUACGGAAGCUUAAAGUCUAGUGAAGAUGCACUGCGUGAACUGAUAACAUAUAGAAGAGCUUCACCCCAUGCUCAAAUCUUCUUCGACGGCAAAUAG
rnacentral:rRNA from 1 species